rnacentral:misc_RNA from 1 species
GCCCUGAUAUCCGGCUUUUGCGCUGCCGGAGGCGUGAAGGUCUGGCCAAAUGCGGCGGAUGCGAAGAAGACGAAGACGGCGACGACGGUGAACAAUCGGAUGUUCGUCCUCAUCAGCGCACCUCCGCUGUGAUCGACGUCCCGGCUGCGACCGACGAGGUCGAACGCGAUUCAGCCUCGGAGAGAACGACGACCUUGGAUCCGACGGGCACGCGGUUGAAAAGAUCGAUCACAUCCUGAUUCAACAGCCGGAUGCAUCCGCUCGACACGUUCUUGCCG